rnacentral:lncRNA from 10 species
AAGGAAGAAAAAUCCUGCUGAAUCCAGGAGCUCUUGCUGUCCCUUUUGCCCUCACAUGAAACGUCUUUGUGGCUCAGACUCAAUGAGCUAUGGACCUGUGGACCCUGGUGGCAGUCACACAGUGUCAAGGGAUAUAUUUGGCAUUAAACUCGGGACAAAAGAAGACACAAACUUUAUCUUGUGGUUUGGGUCCUCCAAUCCUCAUAAAAGUGUGGUUUCACCUGUUACCUCAUAAAGGUGCCAUUGCUGUAUGCACAUCUGAAUCUGUUUACAAUUUGAGAAUAGAGAUUAUUGCCUGCUCCUCCAAGCCCUUCACUGUAGAAUGGAAGCCUGUGAUUUUCCUGGCAUCAUGCAUGACUGAGAAGGUCAGUGUGGCUAAUUCUGAGCUUCAACAUCAGGAAACCCGUAGUUCUUCACACUGAGCCGCCUCCUGCAGCACAGUCAUCCU